rnacentral:tRNA from 1 species
GGGCCUGUAGCUCAAUGGUCAGAGCGCGCCGCUCAUAACGGUGUGGUUGCAGGUUCGAGUCCUGCCGGGCCCACCA